UAUCUACUCCCACAUUUCCACUGCAGGGUGCGGAACGGAUCGGAUCGCAAAGGUGCGGUAGGGAGGGGGCGGUAUAGCCCAGCUCAGUUCCGAGGUCGCGUUUCCACUGCCGACAGUACCCUUUUGUGGUAGGCCGGAUGUCGAUCGCCACGGCAGCCAGGUAAACAUCGUGACAUCAUAGCAGCGCGACACAGUGUAGCCUGCUCAAUAAAACCAAUGUAAAAGUUGAACGCGACACAUUAAACCAAGAGCUACCAUUGAAGUCGUCCAGCAACAGUUCCUGGCCUUUAUUCUUUUCACAUGGCAGUUAAUCAACUUCCGAAUGCAAGCUUUGUUUGACGAAAGUUUGGAGGCUGAAAGGACAAGGACAAGAGCAGCCGAAAAAAAUAAGAUUUUUUUGGAGCUGAUUCAGGAUGCAACCGAUAAAAGCCGCCUAUUGACCAGACAAAGGCGACGACGCAUACGGAUGCUUCAGCAGUUGCACAUUCACAGCCGCAGGCCAACAGUUUGGUCUUUCAGCCGAGCCAGUACCUGGUGGGAAUCGAUUGUUCCAGAAUUCACCAACAGACAGUGGGUGGAUAACUUCAGGAUGUCAGAAGAAACAUUCAUGUACCUCUGCAACAAGAUGCGUCCAGCGCUGCAGAGGCAGGACACAAACUUUCACCUGUGCCUCACAUUGGCUUCCUGUAGGUCAGAGAAUUGAUUUUAAAAUCAUGUUGCUAACCUAUAAAUCCCUACAUGGUUUAGGCCCAAAAUAUUUAACUGAUAUGCUUCCACUAUAUCAGCCUUCUAGACCACUAAGAUCCUCUGAGACCAAUCUGUUAAUUAUCCCCAGAGUAAACACAAAACAUGGGAAAGCAGGAUUUAGUUACUAUGCAACAAAUAGCUGGAAUAAACUCCCAGAGGAUUUAAGACUUGCCCCAACUCUGAGCACCUUUAAAACAAGACUGAAGACUUUUAUGUUUGCUAUAGCUUUCUGCUAAAAUCUUAAAUACAUUGCACUGUCUAAAAAGCUUUUAUAACUUUGCCUUUAUUUUCUAUUUUAAUACUAAAAUGCCUUUUUCUAUUUUAACCAUUUCUUUGCAUAUGUUUUUCUAUUAUUUUAUUUUAUUGUAUGACAAUGUUUAUAUGUGAAGCACUUUGAGUCUGCCUUGUGUAUGAAAAGUGCUAUAUAAAUAAAGUUGCCUUGCCUUGCCU
rnacentral:lncRNA from 1 species